rnacentral:rRNA from 1 species
CGCGGGGGAUACUGCUUGGCUAGGGGACGAGAGAGGCGGACGGUAUUUCCGGGGUAGGGGUGAAAUCCUAUAAUCCCGGGAAGACCACCAGUGGCGAAGGCUGUCUGCUAGAACGCGCCCGACGGUGAGGGAUGAAGGCUGGGGGGGCGAACCGGAUUAGAUACCCGGGUAGUCCCAGCUGUAAACGAUGCAGGCUAGGUGUUUGGACGGCCACGUGCCGUUCUAGUGCCGCAGGGAAGCUGUUAAGCCUGCCGCCUGGGGAGUACGAUCGCAAGAUUGAAACUUAAAGGAAUUGGCGGGGGAGCACCACAAGGGGUGAAGCUUGCGGUUUAAUUGGAUUCAACGCCGGG